CGAAUCUAGGCCGGUCUGACCGGUUCUAUUUUACCCUGUUUUUGCGUACCUAUUGUUUCCUCGGUGGGCUUGCCUGCCAGUAGGACAUUUUUCCAAACACUUUUAUUAGCAGUCUGUAUCAAAUAAUUAUAAAAAUGGUAA
rnacentral:misc_RNA from 1 species